rnacentral:pre_miRNA from 1 species
GUUGUACUCCCUCCGUUCGGAAUUACUUGUCAUACAAAUGAAUGUAUCUAGAUGUAUUUUAGUUCUAGAUACAUCCAUUUUCGAGACAAGUAAUUCCGAACGGAGGGAGUAAUAA